ensembl:lincRNA
AGAAAGAGGGGUUUAAAAAUAGAGAAAAUGAACCAGUAAAUGAGGGGUGAGAUGGAGGGGAUCUGAAAUAGUGACUCAGAAGUAAUGAGGCAGACUGUAAGGACCAAUUUCUCCUUGUCUUUAUCUCAUGUGGUUGCCCUGAAGACUGGAUUGAGUGAGAAAGUAGCAGGCCAUUCUCGGUCAGUUUUUACACCAUGGAAAUGGGAUACACAGGGUAUCUAGGUCAUCAGCAUGCCCUCUAAAGUUCCCACAGAAAGGUCUUGAGAGGUAGUCUCUCCUUUCAUCAGUUCAUAUCACCCCCAUUGUACCUCAUCCCUCAUGCAUAGCACACCCAGAACCUUCUAGUUGCAACAGUCUUCAUACACAAAAUACGAAGGUCGCCUUGUUCUGGUGGCUUUUCUGGACCGGGGUAAACGGGAAUGCUUUUUGGCCAAGUGAAAACUGAGCUCCUUUCUAGGUAGAAUAUUACAUUGAAAAGAGAUUUCCCCUGGUCUGUUUAUCCCACGAGAAACUUCUGUGUUUCUUCUUGUCCUCCAAAGCUGACCCCAAAGUUCCCCAGGGCCUGUCUUAGGAAACAGCACCUGUCCUGCUGUUUAGAGUCUUAGAUGGAAAUGUACACACACAACACAUGUGCCUGUCAAAGCAUCCCCGAACUUCCUGCCCUAGGGAUCCAGGAGGUAGUCAUCCAGGAGGAGGUUGUCAUGGGGAAGGACAGGAGGAGGUAGUCAUCCAGGAGGAGGUAGUCAUGGGGGAAGGAGCCCCUAUAACGAGACAAGUCAAGCCCCAGGUCUCCAAGAAACCAGAGCCGUUCCCCUUCUCCUUCCGCUGUGUACACAUUUGACCAGAACUGCAACAUUUCAAACAUAAACCCAGAUCUGCCUGGAAAUCCUAAUUAAAAACGUUCCGUUCCCAGGUGGUACAAUCACAUCCUGCCUAAAGUGUCUGGCUCUUGGCCCACUACACAGAUGCCGAAAAGAGACUUUUCCCCACUUAACACCAAAACCUUCAUUUGGGAUUUCUUCAGGGGACAAAGGGGAAAAAAAAACCAAUUCAGAGGUACCCAUAUGCAGAGGUCAGCCUACAACACAUUCAUUAAGGGAAAAGAGCGUGGUUUGUUUCUCUGUCUUUCACACUUUGAUUGCUGGCAUGGUGACUGUGGCUAUGAUGAAUUAUGUAACCAGACAGGAACUGGAGAAGAGAAUAAAUGCUGGUGCUCUGAAAUGACCUACCCAACUCUGUCAUCUGUAACAACCAGUGAUAACUCUCUUGUCUUGUAAAAAGGGUUUGUACAUAACUUGUACAUGGUUUCAUUUUGUAUUUUUCGCAGAUUAAAAAUUUAUGUAUUUGUGUUCUAAAA